AUUGAACGCUGGCGGCAGGCCUAACACAUGCAAGUCGAACGGUAACAUCUCUUAAGCUUGCUUUUGAGGAUGACGAGUGGCGGACGGGUGAGUAAUGCUUGGGAAUUUGCCUUGAGGUGGGGGACAACAGUUGGAAACGACUGCUAAUACCGCAUAUUGUCUACGGACUAAAGGGGGCUUCGGCUCUCGCCUUUAGAGAAGCCCAAGUGGGAUUAGGUAGUUGGUGAGGUAAAGGCUCACCAAGCCGACGAUCCCUAGCUGGUCUGAGAGGAUGAUCAGCCACACUGGAACUGAGACACGGUCCAGACUCCUACGGGAGGCAGCAGUGGGGAAUAUUGCACAA
rnacentral:rRNA from 1 species